AGUAGGGAAUCUUCGGCAAUGGACGAAAGUCUGACCGAGCAACGCCGCGUGAGUGAAGAAGGUUUUCGGAUCGUAAAACUCUGUUGUUAGAGAAGAACAAGGAUGAGAGUAGAACGUUCAUCCCUUGACGGUAUCUAACCAGAAAGCCACGGCUAACUACGUGCCAGCAGCCGCGGUAAUACGUAGGUGGCAAGCGUUGUCCGGAUUUAUUGGGCGUAAAGCGAGCGCAGGCGGUUUCUUAAGUCUGAUGUGAAAGCCCCCGGCUCAACCGGGGAGGGUCAUUGGAAACUGGGAGACUUGAGUGCAGAAGAGGAGAGUGGAAUUCCAUGUGUAGCGGUGAAAUGCGUAGAUAUAUGGAGGAACACCAGUGGCGAAGGCGGCUCUCUGGUCUGUAACUGACGCUGAGGCUCGAAAGCGUGGGGAGCGAACAGGAUUAGAUACCCUGGUAGUCCACGCCGUAAACGAUGAGUGCUAAGUGUUGGAGGGUUUCCGCCCUUCAGUGCUGCAGCAAACGCAUUAAGCA
rnacentral:rRNA from 1 species